AAAAUUGACCCAGGGUCUUUUUCAGAAUUAGUACGAUUAAUUAAGCGAAACUGGAUCGUAUGUUAAGAGUUUUUUUGUUCAACGAUAUUUAUUUCAAAAGUCCAAAUUUAAAUUGGAUUUUUACAAAACGAAAAUGUCGAAAAUUUUGAUUCUACUUUUGAUCGUGGGGUUGAUAUCAAUGACUGCAGCUUUCAGUGUAAAUUUAGAAACUUGUCUAAAAGCAGGUCCUUGUAAAGAGCACAAGGAUUGCUGUACAGGAUACUGUAAAAGUUCAAGAUACACUUGGAGUACAAAAGAGAAAACUUGUAUAGAAAUGGUAUAUGUCGAGACUUAAAAAAAAAAUAUGUUACAAUAAAUCGUAGUCAAAUAAACAAAAAUAAUGUAGACUU